rnacentral:rRNA from 1 species
GCGCUCCGAUGCUCUAGAUUACGCGAAGACCUUACCUACACUUGACAUCCUCGGAACUUUCUAGAGAUAGAUUGGUGCCUUCGGGAACCGAGUGACAGGUGCUGCAUGGCUGUCGUCAGCUCGUGUCGUGAGAUGUUGGGUUAAGUCCCGUAACGAGCGCAACCCUUAUCCUUAAUUGCCAGCGGUUCGGCCGGGAACUCUAAGGAGACUGCCGAUGACAAAUCGGAGGAAGGUGGGGACGACGUCAAGUCAUCAUGGCCCUUACGUGUAGGGCUACACACGUGCUACAAUGGUCGGUACAAACGGUCGCAAACCCGCGAGGGGGAGCUAAUCCGAGAAAGCCGAUCGUAGUCCGGAUUGGGGUCUGCAACUCGACCCCAUGAAGUCGGAAUCGCUAGUAAUCGCGAAUCAGAAUGUCGCGGUGAAUACGUUCCCGGGUCUUGUA